AAUUUACAAUUUUUUGUCUUCUUGUAGAACAGAAAAGACAUGUCUAAAAUAAGAUCAGAGAGAUCAAAGAUCAGGGUUUGCUUUAUGAUUUAGAAAAUAUUUAAAAAUAUGAAAUAUAAAAAAUCUGUCGGGUACAGAUGAUAAGCAUAUAACUGAAAUUUUCAAAAAAGGAUCAUUGACCCAUUUUAUAGCUAUUGUCCUUUUACAUGUUUUAGAAAAGUAAUCAUAAAUUGAAUUUAAAAAAUCAGGGUAUUUUUACUUAUUUCAGCUGAGUAAAAUUUAUAGUUCUCAAACUUGGGUGUUAUUUUUUUUGUCAGGUCCUGGGUCUUUUGCAUUUUAGAUGUAAAACUGUUAUCAAGCUGUAAAUCUGCUGAAUAUUUCAUUAUGCAAUGUUUAGUGCUAUUUUUAUUCUUACUGUACAUGUUCAAAGGAAGUUCAGAGAUAUUUGUAAUCGGUCUGUCUGUCCCUCCAUGUGUUACAUUUGUAGAUUACCUUGUCUCCAUCACUCCUUGUUCAUUUUUUGUUUCAGCAAAUUUAUUUCUAUAAAGUAUUGUUCCUUAAUACUAUAUGUAGAUAAAAAUUGUCGAAUUACUCAUGUUACUAGUUUUUUUCUUCUUCUGAAAUCUCCAUUCAUUUUUUGUUUCAGUAAUUUUAUUUAUUUAUGGCAUUGUUCUUUACUUUGUGCAAAUGAUGUGUAGAUAUGCAGUAAGGCUUUGGAUUUCAGAUUUCUUUGAAGAGUUCCAACAUUUGGACCGUAAAAAAUGAAUUGAUAAGGGCUUUGUAGUGCUGGAUGGACAUUGUUUCUAAUGUCGCCAUCUACAGUUGUUUUUUACUGUUUGUGUUUUUAUACGCCAAAAACAUACAUUUUAUAUACAAAAUGUUUUUUUUAUUGUUACUUUACAAAUUUAUUUUUAAAAUGUACAAUGGUAUGUACCAAUUUACAAUUUUUGUUUAUGUUUCUGUUGAAAUAAA
rnacentral:lncRNA from 1 species